GACGAACCGUGCGAACGUUGUUCGGAAUCACUGGGCUUAAAGGGCGCGUAGGCGGGCUACCAAGUCUGUGGUGAAAUCCUCCGGCUCAACCGGAGAACGGCCGUGGAUACUGGUGGUCUCGAGGAAGGUAGGGGCAAGCGGAACUGUGCGUGGAGCGGUGAAAUGCGUUGAUAUGCACAGGAACUCCGGUGGCGAAGGCGGCUUGCUGGACCUUUUCUGACGCUGAGGCGCGAAAGCUAGGGGAGCGAACGGGG
rnacentral:rRNA from 1 species